UACGAAGGGGGCUAGCGUUGCUCGGAAUUACUGGGCGUAAAGCGCACGUAGGCGGAUUGUUAAGUCGGGGGUGAAAUCCUGGAGCUCAACUCCAGAACUGCCUUCGAUACUGGCGAUCUCGAGUUCGGGAGAGGUGAGUGGAACUGCGAGUGUAGAGGUGAAAUUCGUAGAUAUCGGGAGGAACACCAGUGGCGAAGGCGGCGAUCUGGGUCGAUACUGACGCUGAGGUGCGAAAGCGUGGGGAGCAAACAGG
rnacentral:rRNA from 1 species